rnacentral:rRNA from 1 species
AGAGCGAACGCUGGCGGCGUGCUUAACACAUGCAAGUCGAGUGCGCGCCUGUAGCAAUACAGGUGGCGCACGGCGCACGGGUGCGUAACACGUGGGCAAUCUGCCCUCGGAUGGGGGAUAACUCGCCGAAAGGCGAGCUAAUACCGCAUGACAUUCCUGGAACUCCGGUUCCGGGACUCAAAGGCCGCAAGGCCGUCUGAGGGGGAGCCCGCGCCCGAUUAGCUAGUUGGUGAGGUAACGGCUCACCAAGGCUUUGAUCGGUA